UUGUGUCUGUCGGUGGUCAACAACCUCCUCUGCAGCACUGCUGAUUCUGAUCGAUAUCAGGGAAUAAUCUACAGCCAAACAGCAGGUGCAUCACUGCAGAGGCCAACAUCAACAGCAGACAAGAAUAAUGGGAGCCAAUAUUUCACGCAAGAUUGUGGGAGCGUUGACAGGGAUGGUGACGGGUGCCGGUCUGGUCAUUUUAGGACUGUUGACCCAAGUUUUUGUAAUUGCUAGAAGAAUGGGAAUUGCACAAGUUUUGGGGGCAGCAGGAUUUACAGGAAUUACAAGAGUUACAGGAGUUAAAGGAGUUACAGCACCAGCAAAUUAAGUUGCAGAAGCAGCAGCAAACAGAGCAGCAGCAGUGGCUCAGAAACUACUUACAGUGAUCAGCACUGGACUGAUUAUAGCAGCACUUGGAGGAUGCAUCAUUGGAUAUGAAGCAGGAGGACAAGCUGAUUCAAUGUAUGAUGCAAUUACAAGGGCAUUAGAUUGUAACUUUGAGCUGGCAAAAUAUGUAAUUAAGAAAGUACGAGAAUUUAUUGCUUUUGUUUUAAAAGACAACAGAAUGUGAAACUAAACUAAAAAAGGGCUCAUAUGGCCCUUUUUAUAAGAUGCAUGUAAGUCUCAGGAGUCCCAAAAAUAUGUCUGUGACGUUUCAGUUUCAAAUACCCCACAGAUCAUUCAUUAUACCACGCUAUAAAUGCCCCUUUUUGACUGCAAGCGAAAAAUAUGCUGCUUUCAUGUCUCUUUAAAUGCAAAUGAGCUGCUUUCCCCUGCCUUUACAGCUCCUGCCUCAAUUACUACAGCAACAACACACA